CAGUAACCAAAACGCGCAGCACCUUCUUGGCCUCUCCUCUCUCACAGUCUCACUCAGCCACUCUCCUCCUUCCUCUCAUCGAGCUCCUCCUCACUCCCUCACUUCUCUCUCUCUGGCCUCUGAACGAACACACUGAAGAACGCAGAGAAGACAGAAGAGAACUCGAACGCAGCUUGGAGGAAGCACCGAAGCAGCCAUCUCUCGUCGCCGUUCCUUAACAUCCAGCCACCGCCGCUGCUACAGCUUCGGCAAGACGUGCCCUUGUUCGCCGCCGAUCCGCCUCCUUUUUGGCCAACUUCUGCGUCUGUUUUUUGGCCAACCCUUGUUCGAGCUGCGUAGCCCUCUGUUCAGUUCUCUACGCCGCGUGUUCGAGCCUCUGUUCAGCCUCUGUUCCGCGGCCUUUCAGCCACUGUUCCGCCAUUGUCUACCUCCAUUCAGCCAUCUCCGUCGCGAUUUAAAGCUUCUCCCUUUCCCUGUACUGUUUGAAUUUCAGAACUGCUCCAUCCUAAGGUUCUUUCUUGUCCUCAAGGAGAGAUGCAAAACAUUACAUUGAAUUUUGGAAGCAGAUUCCUCCAAAUGAGCCAUAUCUUGUUAUUCUUGGUGAUGUGAGGGACAAACUAUACAAUACACGCGAACGUGCUCGCCAGUUAUUAGCCAAUGGAACCUUUGACAUCCCCGAAGAGACAACCUUCACAAAUGUUAAGCAGAGAAGGCUACUUUUGGUUUCUUCACUCGGAAGGGCAAGUAUGUAGAAUGCUUGCUUUCUGUGAGCAAGAAAUUGGAUGUAGAGGGUGAAGUUAUUGGAGUCUUCUGCUUCUUACAGACAGCUAGCCCUGAGCUUCAACAAGCAUUGCAUAUUCAGCAUUUAUCCGAACAAACUGCCUUGAAGAGACUCAAAGCUUUAACUUAUAUGAAAAGGUAAAUUCGGAAUCCUUUGUGUGGGAUUGUGUUCUCUCGAAAAUUGUUGGAGAAUACUGAGUUGGGAAUUGAGCAAAAACAACUUCUGCACACUGGCACUCAGUGGCUCAGUGCCAACGCUAGCUUAGCAAAAUUCUCGAUGACUCAGAUCUUGACCGUAUCAUUGAUGGCUACUUGAAUUUGGAAAUGGUUGAAUUCACUCUGCAUCAACUUUUUGUUGCCUGCCUUAGUAAGGUCAUGACAAAGAGCAAGGCAAUGGGUAUCCAUAUAAUCAACGAAGUCACGGAGCACAUCAUGAUAGAAACCUUAUAUGGUGAUAGUCUUAGGCUGCAGCAAGUCUUGGCUGACUUCUUAUUGAUUUGCAUCAAUUUUACGCCAACCGGAGGUCAAGUUGUUGUUGCAGCCUCUUUAACAAAAGAUCAAUUAGGCAAAUCAGUUCAUUUGGCUAACUUGGAGAUAAGCAUAACACAUGAUGGUGUUGGUGUUCCGGAAACAUUGCUGAACCAAAUGUUCGGACGAGACGGCCAACCCUUGUUCUGCCCUUUUUGACCAACCCUUGUUCGAGCUGUUUAGCCCUCUGUUCAGUCCUCUACGCCGCGUGUUCGAGCCUCUGUUCAGCCUCUGUUCCGCGGCCUUUCAGCCACCGUUCCGCCAUUGUCCGCCUCCAUUCAGCCAUCUCCGUCGCGAUUUAAAGCUCCUCACUUUCCCUCUACUGUUUGAAUUUCAAAACUGCUCCAUCCUAGGAGACAGAACGAGAUCAUAUCCAAAUACGGACUUGCCGAGGGAUAUUUCUUUGCAUUUUGAUCAUUCCCUCUUGAUGUGGGAGUUCUAGUGCAAGUGGGGUUUUUCCUUUUUUCUGGGAUUUUGGACUCAAGUACCAGUGUGAAAUGGGACGGCAAAUAUGAUCCAAAAUUUUCAGGCAGCUGAUGUAUUCCUGCUAGCAUUCUCUCUCAUAAGCAGGGCUAGCUAUGAAAAUGUUGCCAAGAAAUGGAUUCCUGAGUUGAGGCAUUAUGCUCCUGGUGUUCCAAUUAUUCUUGUUGGAACAAAACUUGUUUUUUCUAGAUCAUCCUGGUGCAGCGCCUAUCACCACAGUGCAGGGUGAGGAACUGAGAAAACUUAUCGGUGCUCCAGUUUACAUCGAAUGUAGUUCAAAAACACAGCAGAAUGUGAAGGCUGUUUUUGAUGCGGCCAUCAAAGUAGUUCUCCAGCCUCCAAAGCAGAAGAAAAAGAAGAGAAAGGGUCAAAAAACCUGUUCCAUAUUGUGAUCUUCUCAGUUCUAAAUUGGUAGUUGGCAGAGGAUGACAUGACUGUAGCCAUUUCUUGGUAGUCUUUGCCAUUCUAUAUCUUUGCUGCAUAACACAUGAUGGUGUUGGUGUUCCGGAAACAUUACUGAACCAAAUGUUCGGACGAGAGGGACAAGAAUCCGAGGAGGGUAUUAGUCUGCUCAUCAGCAGAAAGUUGCUGAAGCUGAUGAAUGGAGACGUGCGGUAUCUGAGGGAUGCUGGCAAAUCAUCUUUCAUCUUAACAGUUGAACUGGCUGCUUCCCAGAAAUUGAUUGCUUAAAGUUAUAGGAAAAUAAAUACUUUGAGUUUUUGUACAUCAUAGAGAUUGACAUAGAUUAGUUGAGACAAAUUUUGUACAGAAGGCUCUUUCUUUUCAUUUUGAAGAUUGUCCAUUUUGGUCUCUUCCUUGUAUCAUUCCUUUGAAAGUGUAAAAAUAGCACAUGAAUGAAAGAAAGUUAUUGCA